rnacentral:rRNA from 1 species
GAUGAACGCUGGCGGCGUGCCUAAUACAUGCAAGUCGAGCGAACAGACGAGGAGCUUGCUCCUCUGACGUUAGCGGCGGACGGGUGAGUAACACGUGGAUAACCUACCUAUAAGACUGGGAUAACUUCGGGAAACCGGAGCUAAUACAGGAUAAUAUAUUGAACCGCAUGGUUCAAUAGUGAAAGACGGUUUUGCUGUCACUUAUAGAUGGAUCCGCGCCGCAUUAGCUAGUUGGUAAGGUAACGGCUUACCAAGGCAACGAUGCGUAGCCGACCUGAGAGGGUGAUCGGCCACACUGGAACUGAGACACGGUCCAGACUCCUACGGGAGGCAGCAGUAGGGAAUCUUCCGCAAUGGGCGAAAGCUUGACGGAGCAACGCCGCGUGAGUGAUGAAGGUCUUCGGAUCGUAAAACUCUGUUAUUAGGGAAGAACAAAUGUGUAAGUAACUAUGCACGUCUUGACGGUACCUAAUCAGAAAGCCACGGCUAACUACGUG